AUUGAACGCUGGCGGCAGGCCUAACACAUGCAAGUCGAGCGGAUGAAGGGAGCUUGCUCCUGGAUUCAGCGGCGAACGGGUGAGUAAUGCCUAGGAAUCUGCCUGGUAGUGGGGGAUAACGUCCGGAAACGGGCGCUAAUACCGCAUACGUCCUGAGGGAGAAAGUGGGGGAUCUUCGGACCUCACGCUAUCAGAUGAGCCUAGGUCGGAUUAGCUAGUUGGUGCGGUAAAGGCCUACCAAGGCGACGAUCCGUAACUGGUCUGAGAGGAUGAUCAGUCACACUGGAACUGAGACACGGUCCAGACUCCUACGGGAGGCAGCAGUGGGGAAUAUUGGACAAUGGGCGAAAGCCUGAUCCAGCCAUGCCGCGUGCGUGAAGAAGGUCUUCGGAUUGUAAAGCACUUUAAGUUGGGAGGAAGGGCAGUAAGUUAAUACCUUGCUGUUUUGACGUUACCAACAGAAUAAGCACCGGCUAACUUCGUG
rnacentral:rRNA from 1 species